rnacentral:misc_RNA from 1 species
AAGUCGUGACAAGGUUUCCGUAGGUGAACCUGCGGAAGGACCAUUAACACGUAUUCAAACGUUAAAACAACCCUGUGAAUAUUAACAUGUUCUUGCGUGACACUCAAACAGCAAUCUCUCGUAAAACAGGCGCUAAAGAAUUAGAGAUAUUGAUUUGAGAGAAUUCUGUCAGUCGGUGGACGUUGCAAUUCCUGGUACCUUCGUCUGAAAGUGUCAAGUGAUGGUCAGGGUAACGCAGUCAACGAUCGCUGUAGGUCCUCACGACCGGCGACCGGCGAAAGUCACGUCACCCCUAUGUACCCUCCGGGACUUGGCGAAAGCCGUCCGUCACAAAUCAAACAACUGUUAACAAUGGAUACCGUUCUC